rnacentral:lncRNA from 1 species
ACAGUUGCGUUUCCCACGCGAAGUCGACGGACGCGACGAACUCGCAAUAGUACCAGUAUCAAAACCACUAUAUAAAACAACCAUUAUAAUGGGAAACCAUAUAUCAAAGUAUAUGUUAACCAUGGUUAAAAGAUACUUUUUUCCAACGAGCCGUUUGGUCUAAAAGUUCGAGUUACUCACUGGACAGAACGGCACCUUGGCGUCUGCUGGUGCAGCAAUAUCCGCAGCAACUCAUGAUGAGGAAGGGAAUGCACUGCCUAUUUAUCGGAUUUAUCCGCUUUUUGGCAGCACCCGUAUAAUUCACUUAAAUAUCAGUGAACUACUCUACCGGAAGGUCGUUAUUGAAGCCCGAUUGGAAUUAACUAUAUCUUAUCAGCGUUAAUCUGAAAGUAAUACAAUUUAUCAUGAUGAUAAUGGGUGCACGUUAUGCAGCACUGACUGCGCUGGCUAUGUUUAGUGAGCAGUCGAUGUAAAGCGGCGAUAGCUAGCGCACUCAACACAGCAAUCGAUAAUUCAAACAUAACAUCUGAUUUAAUUGUGUUUAAAACUUUAUUGCAAGGUAUAUAAUGGCUCAUAAUUUUAUUUAUUUGCGUUCCAAAUAUUUACUAAAUUGAGUUUGUUAUACUAAGCUUGUAUAUUUUGUAUAGAUAUUUUUUAAAACAUUACAAUUUAUCAUAAUGAUGACGUUAUGCAGCACUGACUGCUGAGUUUAGUGAGUAGUCGAUGCAAGCCAACGAUAGCUAUCGAACUCAACAAAGCAAUCGAUACUAUUGGAAUAGAAAAUAUAAGAAUUAAUUAAUUCAAA